GAAWACGUAUUUUUCCACGGCAGCAUAAAGGUAAAAUAAAUGGUGUCACUUUACUAUUAGUGUUGUCAAAGUCUGGUGCCAUAAGACUCGGUAAGGCCAGAGACGCUAGCGUUAAUCAUCUUGAUCAGGCGUAAAGGGUUUGUAGGCGGCUUAAAUUAAGAAUAAAAGCUAGAAUCAGAUAGAGGUCACCGUGAGAGAACACUUGGAGUAGGGUUGAUAUCUGUUGAUACCAAUGUGGAAUUCUAAUUAGCGAAGGCUCUUUUCCAAAUAAUGAUUGACGCUGAUAAACGAAGGUGAGGAACGACAAUAGGAUUAGAUACCCUGGCAUCCCUCUCUGUCAACGAUGAAUGGUAGUAGCUAGUUCUAAUGAGCUAGUGGCGAGGUUAACACGUUAACCAUUCCGCCUUGUGAGUACAAUUGCAAAGUUGAAAACAAAAAAAUUAGUCGGUUUCGGAGCAAACGAAGUGAAGCAUGUUAUUUAAUUCGAUAAUCCGCA
rnacentral:rRNA from 1 species